rnacentral:rRNA from 1 species
UGUGUGUUCCAGGUAAAUCCGGUUCACUUUAACACUGAGGCGUGACGACGAGGCACUACGGUGCUGAAGCAACAAAUGCCCUGCUUCCAGGAAAAGCCUCUAAGCAUCAGGUAACAUCAAAUCGUACCCCAAACCGACACAGGUGGUCAGGUAGAGAAUACCAAGGCGCUUGAGAGAACUCGGGUGAAGGAACUAGGCAAAAUGGUGCCGUAACUUCGGGAGAAGGCACGCUGACACGUAGGUGAAGUGAUUUACUCAUGGAGCUGAAGUCAGUCGAAGAUACCAGCUGGCUGCAACUGUUUAUUAAAAACACAGCACUGUGCAAACACGAAAGUGGACGUAUACGGUGUGACGCCUGCCCGGUGCCGGAAGGUUAAUUGAUGGGGUCAGCGCAAGCGAAGCUCCUGAUCGAAGCCCCGGUAAACGGCGGCCGUAACUAUAACGGUCCUAAGGUAGCGAAAUUCCUUGUCGGGUAAGUUCCGACCUGCACGAAUGGCGUAAUGAUGGCCAGGCUGUCUCCACCCGAGACUCAGUGAAAUUGAACUCGCUGUGAAGAUGCAGUGUACCCGCGGCAAGACGGAAAGACCCCGUGAACCUUUACUAUAGCUUGACACUGAACAUUGAGCCUUGAUGUGUAGGAUAGGUGGGAGGCUUUGAAGUGUGGACGCCAGUCUGCAUGGAGCCGACCUUGAAAUACCACCCUUUAAUGUUUGAUGUUCUAACGUGGACCCGUAAUCCGGGUUGCGGACAGUGUCUGGUGGGUAGUUUGACUGGGGCGGUCUCCUCCUAAAGAGUAACGGAGGAGCACGAAGGUUGGCUAAUCCUGGUCGGACAUCAGGAGGUUAGUGCAAUGGCAUAAGCCAGCUUGACUGCGAGCGUGACGGCGCGAGCAGGUGCGAAAGCAGGUCAUAGUGAUCCGGUGGUUCUGAAUGGAAGGGCCAUCGCUCAACGGAUAAAAGGUACUCCGGGGAUAACAGGCUGAUACCGCCCAAGAGUUCAUAUCGACGGCGGUGUUUGGCACCUCGAUGUCGGCUCAUCACAUCCUGGGGCUGAAGUAGGUCCCAAGGGUAUGGCUGUUCGCCAUUUAAAGUGGUACGCGAGCUGGGUUUAGAACGUCGUGAGACAGUUCGGUCCCUAUCUGCCGUGGGCGCUGGAGAACUGAGGGGGGCUGCUCCUAGUACGAGAGGACCGGAGUGGACGCAUCACUGGUGUUCGGGUUGUCAUGCCAAUGGCACUGCCCGGUAGCUAAAUGCGGAAGAGAUAAGUGCUGAAAGCAUCUAAGCACGAAACUUGCCCCGAGAUGAGUUCUCCCUGAGACUUUAAGUCUCCUGAAGGAACGUUGAAGACGACGACGUUGAUAGGCCGGGUGUGUAAGCGCAGCGAUGCGUUGAGCUAACCGGUACUAAUGAACCGUGAGGCUUAACCUUACAACGCCGAAG